GUGCAUCAUUGACGUCAUCGUUGCCGGACCGCUUUCUAGGAGACUGGAGUCGAAGGCCGUGAGUCAGCCAUAAUGGCAGCUGAAGAAAUUAAUGAGGACUAUCCAGUAGAAAUUCACGAAUAUUUGUCAGCGUUUGGGAAUUCCAUUGAUGCUGUGGAUGAGAUGCUGAAGAACAUGAUGUCUGUUUCUAGAAAUGAGUUGUUGCAGAAGUUGGACCCACUUGAACAAGCAAAAGUGGAUUUGGUUUCUGCAUACACAUUAAAUUCAAUGUUUUGGGUUUAUCUGGCAACUCAAGGAGUGAAUCCUAAGGAACAUCCAGUAAAGCAGGAAUUGGAAAGAAUCAGAGUAUAUAUGAACAGAGUCAAGGAAAUGACAGACAAGAAAAAGGCAGGCAAGCUGGACAGAGGUGCAGCUUCAAGAUUUGUAAAAAAUGCCCUCUGGGAACCAAAACCGAAAAAUGCAUCAAAAGUUGCCAAUAAAGGAAAAAGUAAAAGUUAACUUUUUGUUUUUUAUGUACACAUAUUCAAAAAGUACAUCUUUUUUUUUCCCACAAAAUAAUUCUGUGGUAGUGCAAGGUUUAAAUGUAGUCCUUAUUGAAUUAAUAUGUAAAUUUACAGUAAAUUUGUAAAGCGAAAUACUUUCCUCUCCAAAGGGUGUUAUCUUUAUUGAUUUGCACUGUGAGGGUUUUAACAUUGUGAUAUAUUUUAUAUUUACAAUUUACCAUGUCUUUUGAUGAGACUCUUAUUUCUUUAUAGAGGUCAGUCUUGCAAGUACCAUUUUCUAAGCAACUGUGAAAUUUAAGUGAAAUGUUCUUUGUAAAUAUUUGUACCAUUUUAAAUG